ACCAGGGUAGUUUAUAAAAACGCUACUUUGUGGUGGUAGAGAUGUCUAUACUCUUGGUAU
rnacentral:tRNA from 1 species